rnacentral:rRNA from 1 species
UACGAAGGGGGCGAGCGUUGUUCGGAAUUACUGGGCGUAAAGCGCGUGUAGGCGGCCAAGCAAGUCGGAUGUGAAAGCCCUCGGCUCAACCGGGGAAGUGCACUCGAAACUGCAUGGCUAGAGUCCGGAAGAGGCGAGUGGAAUUCCUGGUGUAGCGGUGGAAUGCGCAGAUAUCAGGAGGAACACCGAUGGCGAAGGCAGCUCGCUGGGACGGUACUGACGCUAAGGCGCGAAAGCGUGGGGAGCGAACAGG